rnacentral:lncRNA from 1 species
GAGUAAGGCAAGCAUAUCUGAUGAAAGAAAGGAUGAACACAUGAAAGGAUGGAUGAAGGAAGGAACAAACAAGCAUUUACUGAAUGACGAUCAUACAUCACCUUGAUUAUUUAAGGUACUCUCAUUUUCUUGGGUCUUCAGUCUCUGAAGAAGUAAUACAGGAAAUAGCCACACCUUCAGAAGGAUGAUCUUCAAUGGCAACAAUUCUCAGCAAGUGGAGUGGCUCUGUUCCCAUCUACCUGGAAGGAUUUGUACAGUGAUCCAACAGUCUCUUGAUACCUUCAGCGUCAGCAAGGGAGACAUUGGCAGCCUCCCAUUUUCUCCUUGACUUCAGCCAAUUCCCUUGUCGAGCCAGCUAAAGCAAAAGCAUCUUCAUGAGCAUAAUCCCAUGUCUGAGACUCUUACAGUUUCUCCACAGAUUCAUUCAUUCCUCAUUCCCACAGAAACAAUUUCAACUCUUGGCAGGAACAUAAAUACAAAACUUGUGUGGCAUAGAACAUCCAACUCAAUUCUUUUGCCUGGGAAACUCCUUGUUUCACCAGUAACCUCUUAGAGGAAGGCUCGUCAUGUGAUGUGAUUAUGAAAACUCAGUCUUAUGCUAAGGAGACUUCAUCAAGGACUCAGCUACAUGAUUUAUCUGACUCGUCUCUUUCUGAGCUGCCUAAAAUUGUAGCCGUGUUUGGGUUACCUGAAAGUAUGGGCUCAAAGACUAUAAUGUGUUUUCGUAGCUACUGGUACUCAGGCAUAGAACAUUUAGCUUUCAGCAAAUCCUCAAGCACUAGCAAAACUUUGCCAGGCAAUACAUGUUUAACCUGGAUGCUAACUGAAAUAGUGAUGUCACCCACAUACCUCCAAAACCUUAUUGAUAACAAGAUAUGCGACUCUUUCUGACAUUAAUAAGAUACAAGGAUUCCUGGACCAUGGCCAAGAGGGGCUGGAUUCGAUUCAUUGGCCACUGCAGGAUCCACAGCUGGGACCGAGAUCUGUCUGCCUCUUACUCGAUGCACAGGUGGGUAAGAUGCCUCCCAGGUCCUUUGGCAUAUGGUGCUGGAUCCCACCACUCCCUCAAAGGCACUUUUGUCUGUGGAUGGAUGACAAAUUGUUCUGUGUUUUGGGGCGGGGGGGGGCACGAACAAAGGAUGUCUUUUGCUACCAUCAUGCUGAUGUCAGAAUCUUUUAAUAUAACUGAAAGUACACCUGUUUUCUCUAGGAUAACUUUGAUUCCCACAAUCAUUAAGUCUGGACUUAAACUUAGAUUUCAGUAUUGGAUGAGUGGUAAAAUUUUUUUCUUAAUUUAAAUUUGUCUUGACUAGUAAAUCCUCAAUGUGGAUCCUGUUUUAAAAGAAUCAACAAUUAACAUUCUUAUAUUUUUUCCAAAAAUGGUCACUUCCACUAUAAGGCUGUAAUAUGUAUCUCAAGAUAAGGCCAAGCACAGCCUGACCCUCUGUAGGAGUGGGGGAGGAGGGGCUCAAAAGAUAGCUAGUUAAGCAGACAGAAUGACUCAGCUGAAGAAUCCUAACAACCAACAACAUGGGAUGAUAGAGACAGCUACUGGCACAGUUGUUCAAAAGGCAGCCAUAGAAAUAUUCUCCCAGUUGGUAGAGCAGUUCAUAAAUAGUAUCUAAAAAUGGAGACUGAAAUGUAGGCAAGACUGUCAACAAGCAGCAUGGCCUUAGCACAUGGGGAAGGGAGAAGCAUAAACUGAGAAUAAAGAAGGAUCCCAGUCAUUGAAGAUGGGCUGU